rnacentral:rRNA from 1 species
GACGAACGCUGGCGGCGUGCUUAACACAUGCAAGUCGAGCGGUAAGGCCCUUUCGGGGGUACACGAGCGGCGAACGGGUGAGUAACACGUGGGUGACCUGCCCUCAGCUCUGGGAUAAGCCUGGGAAACCGGGUCUAAUACUGGAUAUGACUCCAUGACGCAUGCUGUGGGGUGGAAAGCCUUGUGCGGCUGAGGAUGGGCCCGCGGCCUAUCAGCUUGUUGGUGGGGUGAUGGCCUACCAAGGCGACGACGGGUAGCCGGCCUGAGAGGGCGACCGGCCACACUGGGACUGAGACACGGCCCAGACUCCUACGGGAGGCAGCAGUGGGGAAUCUUGCGCAAUGGGCGAAAGCCUGACGCAGCGACGCCGCGUGAGGGAUGACGGCCU